CCUACGGGGGGCUGCAGUGGGGAAUAUUGGACAAUGGGCGAAAGCCUGAUCCAGCCAUGCCGCGUGUGUGAAGAAGGCCUUCGGGUUGUAAAGCACUUUCAGUGGGGAAGAAAGCCUUGGGGCUAAUACCCUCGAGGAAGGACAUCACCCACAGAAGAAGCACCGGCUAACUCCGUGCCAGCAGCCGCGGUAAUACGGAGGGUUCGAGCGUUAAUCGGAAUUACUGGGCGUAAAGCGCGCGUAGGCGGUCUGAUAAGCCGGUUGUGAAAUCCCCGGGCUCAACCUGGGAACGGCAUCCGGAACUGUCAGGCUAGAGUGCAGGAGAGGAAGGUAGAAUUCCCGGUGUAGCGGUGAAAUGCGUAGAGAUCGGGAGGAAUACCAGUGGCGAAGGCGGCCUUCUGGACUGACACUGACGCUGAGGUGCGAAAGCGUGGGUAGCAAACAGGAUUAGAUACCCCGGUAGUC
rnacentral:rRNA from 1 species